rnacentral:rRNA from 1 species
ACGGGGUGCGGGGGCAACUUCGCAUUCAGUGGCGAACGGGUGCCCUUUUGCAUCGGAACGUGUCCCGUAGUGGGGGAUAACCCGGCGAAAGCCGUGCUAAUACCGCAUACGCUCUGUGGAGGAAAGCAGGGGACCCUGGAAGGGGCCUUGUGCUAGGGGGGCGGCCGAUGUCCGAUUAGCUUGUUGGUGGGGUAAUGGCCCACCAAGGCUGCGAUCGGUAGCUGGUCUGAUAGGAUGAUCAGCCACACUGGGACUGAGACACGGCCCAGACUCCUACGGGAGGCAGCAGUGGGGAAUUUUGGACAAUGGGGGCAACCCUGAUCCAGCCAUGCCGCGUGCGGGAAGAAGGCCUUCGGGUUGUAAACCGCUUUUAGCCGGGACGAAUAGGGCACGGAUAACACCCGUGUUUUUUGACGGUACCGGCGGAAUAAGCUCCGGCUAUCUACGUG